GCGGAUGGGUGAGUAACGCGUAGGUAAUCUGCCUUCAGGACGGGGAUAACCCACCGAAAGGUGAGCUAAUACCGGAUGAUGCAGCGGGGCCGCAUGGCCACAGUUGUUAAAUCCUUCGGGAGCCUGGAGAUGAACCUGCGUGCCAUUAGCUAGUUGGUAGGGUCAAAGCCUACCAAGGCGAUGAUGGCUAGGGGGUCUGAGAGGAUGAUCCCCCACACUGGGACUGAGACACGGCCCAGACUCCUACGGGAGGCAGCAGUGAGGAAUCUUGCGCAAUGGGGGCAACCCUGACGCAGCCACGCCGCGUGCUGGAAGACGGCCCUAUGGGUUGUAAACAGCUUUUACUGGGGAAGAACCUGGACCUUUCGAGGACCACUGACGGUACCCAGUGAAUAAGCACCGGCUAACUCCGUGCCAGCAGCCGCGGUAAUACGGAGGGUGCAAGCGUUGUCCGGAAUCAUUGGGUGUAAAGGGUGUGCAGGCGGAAGUCUAAGUCGGAGGUGAAAUCUUGCCGCUUAACGGUAAAAGGGCCUUCGAAAC
rnacentral:rRNA from 1 species